GAUGAACGCUGGCGGCGUGCCUAAUACAUGCAAGUCGAGCGAACGGACGAGAAGCUUGCUUCUCUGAUGUUAGCGGCGGACGGGUGAGUAACACGUGGAUAACCUACCUAUAAGACUGGGAUAACUUCGGGAAACCGGAGCUAAUACCGGAUAAUAUUUUGAACCGCAUGGUUCAAAAGUGAAAGACGGUCUUGCUGUCACUUCUAGAUGGAUCCGCGCUGCAUUAGCUAGUUGGUAAGGUAACGGCUUACCAAGGCAACGAUGCAUAGCCGACCUGAGAGGGGGAUCGGCCACACUGGAACUGAGACACGGUCCAGAAUCCUACGGGAGGCAGCAGUAGGGAAUCUUCCGCAAUGGGCGAAAGCCUGACGGAGCAACGCCGCGUGAGUGAUGAAGGUCUUCGGAUCGUAAAACUCUGUUAUUAGGGAAGAACAUAUGUGUAAGUAACUGUGCACAUCUUGACGGUACCUAAUCAGAAAGCCACGGCUAACUACGUG
rnacentral:rRNA from 1 species